UUCCUCAUCUGUGCCAUAUUCACCACCCUAGGCAAAUAAAGAUAAAACUGUCUGCAUGACUGGGUACCAGAGAUGCCCAGCUUCUCCAGGCCCAUGUCAGCCCCCGCACCCAUCCCGAUGAUACUGAUGCCCAAGCCAUCGCCAUCUGAAAGAAGACCUAUGUCUGUUUGCAGACAUACACUCGGAGCAGAGAGUGUUCAUGUUCAGUACCUUUCUCCAG